GGCGGAUGAUUUUCUCCACUGCAAACUCUUGGACAACCGUCGUCUCUUCUGCCUUCCUGUUCUUCACAUUCUGCUUUUUCCUCAUGACCUCCUAUAACAACACUGCAUUUAAUAAUGUUUUCAAAGAAUGCUGAAGAAAAACUACAGAGCAGAUCCAUGGCUCUCUGGAAGCUGGAUACUGCUGUCCUGACACAGGCCAGACCCUCAGUCAACUCUCAGACCCCUCUCUUAAGCACCUCAGAUUCUUCCAUCCUUCAGGUGUUGAUCUCACGGCAGGCCCCUGACAGGAAGUUUCCGCAGCCCUCCACCAAACCCAUUGGAGUGCACAUCAGCCUGACGGACGGAUGAAUGACACCAAUGAAAAUGGAGCGCUAUCCUCCGGGGCUAACCCGCU